rnacentral:rRNA from 1 species
GAUGAACGCUGGCGGCGUGCCUAAUACAUGCAAGUCGAGCGAACAGACGAGGAGCUUGCUCCUCUGACGUUAGCGGCGGACGGGUGAGUAACACGUGGAUAACCUACCUAUAAGACUGGGAUAACUUCGGGAAACCGGAGCUAAUACCGGAUAAUAUAUUGAACCGCAUGGUUCAAUAGUGAAAGACGGCUUUGCUGUCACUUAUAGAUGGAUCCGCGCCGCAUUAGCUAGUUGGUAAGGUAACGGCUUACCAAGGCAACGAUGCGUAGCUGACCUGAGAGGGUGAUCGGCCACACUGGAACUGAGACACGGUCCAGACUCCUACGGGAGGCAGCAGUAGGGAAUCUUCCGCAAUGGGCGAAAGCCUGACGGAGCAACGCCGCGUGAGUGAUGAAGGUCUUCGGAUCGUAAAACUCUGUUAUUAGGGAAGAACAAAUGUGUAAGUAACUAUGCACGUCUUGACGGUACCUAAUCAGAAAGCCACGGCUAACUACGUG